rnacentral:rRNA from 1 species
AAUCAACGCUGGCGGCGUGCCUCAGACAUGCAAGUCGAACGCGAGAGGUUCCUUCGGGAGCCGAGUAGAGUGGCGCUCGGGUGAGUAACACGUAGGUAAUUUGCCUUUGGGUGGGGAAUAACAAUCGGAAACGGUUGCUAAUACCGCAUAAUGCAGCGGCUCGACAUCGAGACAGUUGUUAAAGCGGGGGAGUCCUUCGGGACCGUCGCGCCUAAAGAGAAGCCUGCGGCGGANAGUCUAGUUGGUGAGGUAAUGGCUCACCAAGGCGACGAUCCGUAA